rnacentral:lncRNA from 1 species
UUUCUACUCUCAGUAGUACUGCAUUAACUAAACAGUUUACUCAUUUGUGCCUUGCAGAUGAGAUUUCAGCUUCCUCCUCCUCCCUUCAUUUCUUCCCUCCUAUUUUCCUUCCACUUGAAAUGUGUAAGAGAACUUUGAGUGUACUUUCUUAAAAUAAGAGUUAAAGGCAAGCAGACAUCAGUACGAGUGAAUAUGUUCUCAAGGGCAGCAGCAAGUGGGAAGACCAGGACAUCAGCAGCCCAAGGUGUAGUUAGAGCUGAAAGAAAUCUCACAGAGAGGUGGAUACUUUAAAAUUAAAGCAAGCAGCAUGAAAAGAGCUCAAAUCAUCUGACAAAAGAAGACUCAGGAUGGAUGGCAGACAAGCUAGGGAGCUCAGCACCUAAGGAAUGACACAAUGGUGAGUCUCCUUAGCUUGCUUUUUCUUUUCUUCAUGUAUUCUAGAGUGGCUACUGGGGAAGCCU